ACGCACGCUGUCGGCGUGCUUAACACAUGCAAGUCGCACGAUGAUGCCAGCUUGCUGGUGGACUAGUGGCGAACGGGUGAGUAACACGUGAGCAACCUGCCCCUGACUUCGGGAUAACCGCGGGAAACCGUGGCUAAUACCGGAUAUGACGCGCUAUCGCAUGGUGGUGUGUGGAAAGAUUUAUCGGUUGGGGAUGGGCUCGCGGCCUAUCAGCUUGUUGGUGGGGUGAUGGCCUACCAAGGCGACGACGGGUAGCCGGCCUGAGAGGGUGACCGGCCACACUGGGACUGAGACACGGCCCAGACUCCUACGGGAGGCAGCAGUGGGGAAUAUUGCACAAUGGGCGCAAGCCUGAUGCAGCGACGCCGCGUGAGGGAUGACGGCCUUCGGGUUGUAAACCUCUUUCAGUAGGGAAGAAGGCCUUCGGGUUGACGGUACCUGCAGAAGAAGCGCCGGCUAACUACGUG
rnacentral:rRNA from 1 species